ACUUGGCAUAUGAUGAAUCUCUAUUAACAAAGUCUGAUUUUUUUCUUUGAUGCUAAAUCACCUUGGAGAACUGAUGCCAAAA
rfam:Helianthus annuus linkage group 3, whole genome shotgun sequence.